rnacentral:rRNA from 1 species
UACGGAAGGCAGCAGUGGGGAAUAUUGCACAAUGGGCGCAAGCCUGAUGCAGCCAUGCCGCGUGUAUGAAGAAGGCCUUCGGGUUGUAAAGUACUUUCAGUCGUGAGGAAGGUGUUAAGGUUAAUAACCUUAGCAAUUGACGUUAGCGACAGAAGAAGCACCGGCUAACUCCGUGCCAGCAGCCGCGGUAAUACGGAGGGUGCGAGCGUUAAUCGGAAUUACUGGGCGUAAAGGGCACGCAGGCGGUUAAUUAAGUUGGAUGUGAAUCCCCGGGCUUAACCUGGGAAUGGCAUUCAAGACUGGUUAGCUAGAGUCUUGUAGAGGGGGUAGAAUUCCAUGUGUAGCGGUGAAAUGCGUAGAGAUGUGGAGGAAUACCGGUGGCGAAGGCGGCCCCUGGGACAAAGACUGACGCUCAUGUGCGAAAGCGUGGGGAGCGAAACAGGGAUUUAGA